rnacentral:rRNA from 1 species
GCGCAGCAGGCGAGAAUCCUCCGCAAUGCGCGAAAGCGCGACGGGGCCACCCCGAGUGCCGCCCGCUGAGGGCGGCUUUCCCCGGUGUAGACAGCCGGGGGAAUAAGGGGAGGGCAAGUCUGGUGUCAGCCGCCGCGGUAAUACCAGCUCCCCGAGUGGUGGGGACGAUUAUUGGGCCUAAAGCGUCCGUAGCCGGCCCGGCAAGUCUCCCGUUAAAUCCAGCGGUCUAAUCGCUGGACUGCGGGAGAUACUGUCGGGCUAGGGGGCGGGAGAGGCCGGCGGUAUUCCCGGGGUAGGGGUGGAAAUCCUAUAAUCCCGGGAGGACCACCAGUGGCGAAGGCUGCCGGCUGGAACGCGCCCGACGGUGAGGGACGAAAGCCGGGGGAGCGAACCGGAUUAGAUACCCCGGUAGU